rnacentral:rRNA from 1 species
GACGAACGCUGGCGGCGUGCUUAACACAUGCAAGUCGAACGGAAAGGCCCUGCUUUUGUGGGGUGCUCGAGUGGCGAACGGGUGAGUAACACGUGAGUAACCUGCCCUUGACUUUGGGAUAACUUCAGGAAACUGGGGCUAAUACCGGAUAGGAGCUCCUGCUGCAUUGUGGGGGUUGGAAAGUUUCGGCGGUUGGGGAUGGACUCGCGGCUUAUCAGCUUGUUGGUGGGGUAGUGGCUUACCAAGGCUUUGACGGGUAGCCGGCCUGAGAGGGUGACCGGCCACAUUGGGACUGAGAUACGGCCCAGACUCCUACGGGAGGCAGCAGUGGGGAAUAUUGCACAAUGGGCGGAAGCCUGAUGCAGCAACGCCGCGUGCGGGAUGACGGCCUUCGGGUUGUAAACCGCUUUCGCCUGUGACGAAGCGUGAGUGACGGUAAUGGGUAAAGAAGCACCGGCUAACUACGU